rnacentral:lncRNA from 1 species
AUCCUAAUUGAUUAUCUGUUUGACAUUAAGCUCAUGAAAUCCCUAAACCUAACAAGAUGAAUUACUCAGACAUGCAAGCAAUAACAAAAAUCAUAGUCUGAAUAAUAUAAUAGAUAAGAAAGAAAAUAUAAAACCAAUGGAGUACAAUCAAUCUCUGAAGGAGAAUUGAUCUUCUCUCCAAACCUAAGAGAAAACUAAAGAGUAGGAUAAUAGAAAGCUUGUUGCCGUCAACAACGGCUUAGAAAUACAUAAAUAGGGUUUCUGGUCGUCCAUGGGCAUUUUAGUAACUUGGUGUGGCUUCUAAGUUUCAAACGGUCUUGAAAUAUGCUUGGCCCAUGUUUUGGCAAUACUGUCGAUCGACACCAAUGCUGUGUCAUCGAUCGACAGUCUUUCAUCUCUUCGACAGCUUCCUCUCACGAGGCAGACUGACCACUCUUCAGUAAAACUGGCAUAACUUCUGCUACAGGAUGCCGAUUAACCUCAAACCGGUGGCAUUGGAAAGCUAACUCAAAUCUAUAUCUUGCGUCAAAAAC